GAUAAGCUGCGGGCCAAUGAUCCAAGUAAAAUCUAAAGCUGGGGAGGCCAUAAAUCAUUCUAGUAAGCUUUCAAAAGAUUAUACAUACAUGUUCAAUCUAAGAGACAAUAGAAGAACCAGUUCGCAAAAUCCAUGCAUAGCCAUUAUAUCAAUUUGUGAGAUGCUAAUGCAGUCAUUCGUGCAGCCGCCCCCUCGCCAUUCAUGGCGGAUAAGCUUGUUAAUUCAUAAUGCUAUUCAAACGGUGAUUAUCGAAGUUUUUUC